rnacentral:sRNA from 1 species
UGAAGACAGCAGAGAGGAGAGCGGUGCGGAGGACUGAGGCUGUGACAAACCCUGUGCCCACGCUGCCUGCACUGCCGGGAGACUCAGGGCUGGGGGAGACAUGCCCCGGUCAGCACUGUGGAGACUCAGGACUUGGGGAGGCAUGUCCUGGUCAGCACUGCGGAGACUCAGGGCUGGGGGAGGCAUGCCCUGGCCACCACUGGUGAGCCAGCGAGACUGAGGACCCUGCGCGUGCUGACCUGGGGACACCACAGAACUCACUCGCGAUUCCUGCUCACAGCACGUUUCAUGCUCGGAAACCAGGAGAGCCUCCACGUGCCACCCAGCUCUGUCCACACAUCCAUCGUGCAGCUCUGCAGCAGAAGGAACUUCAGUAAAGACGCUGGUUUGUAAUGAGACAAGCGUUCCAAAGUGUCACACGACAUUGUUUAUUACUAAAAGG